GAAAUGCGAUACGUAGUGUGAAUUGCAGAAUUCUGUGAAUCAUCGAAACCUUGAACGCAAAUUGCGCCCUUUGGCUAUCCGAAGGGCACGCCUGUUUGAGUGUUGGUUUCACUUCUCCUCAACAAAACACACUUGUGUGCUUUGAAAGAGGGUCAUGGACAUCAAGCAGAGAUGCUUGUCGUCUCAAAUGCAGUGAAAGGUGGUCUUUUGCACGUGAAGCACGGCAAUCAACGUACCAUCGAGCAGUAUGCUGGUGACUUUUGUCUCCUUUGCUGACUCGGUUCUACGUGCCUGUUCUCCCGUCGAGCCUCCUUCGAAGGAACUGAACGAAAGUGCGGGCUUCUGUCCGUCCAAAGUAGUUCAUCAUCGAACCCUUCAACCUCAAAUCAGGCGAGGCUAC
rnacentral:misc_RNA from 1 species